UACAGAGGGGGCUAGCGUUGUUCGGAAUUACUGGGCGUAAAGCGUAUGCAGGCGGACUUUUAAGUCGGGGGUGAAAUCCCGAGGCUCAACCUCGGAACUGCCUUCGAUACUGGAAGUCUUGAGUCCGGGAGAGGUGAGUGGAACUCCGAGUGUAGAGGUGAAAUUCGUAGAUAUUCGGAAGAACACCAGUGGCGAAGGCGGCUCACUGGCCCGGUACUGACGCUGAGAUACGAAAGCGUGGGGAGCAAACAGG
rnacentral:rRNA from 1 species